AAUUAAGCUACAAAGGGCAUACGGUGGAUGCCUUGGCAUUGAGAGUCGAUGAAGGACGCGGUAAGCUGCGAAAAGGUAUGGGGAGCCGCAAGCAGGCAAUGAUCCAUACAUCUCCGAAUGGGGCAACCCGGCACGAGUCAUGUCGUGCCAUCCUACGGGAGGAUAACCCGGUGAACUGAAACAUCUAAGUAGCCGGAGGAAAAGUAAUCAAACGAGAUUCCCAUAGUAGCGGCGAGCGAACAGGGAAGAGCCCAAACCCGCUGUCUUCGGACAGCGGGGGUUGAGGACCGGCAUAAAUCAAAGGAAAGUCAGAAGAAGGGCAUGGGAAGGCCCGGCACAGAGGGUGAGACCCCCGUAUUUGAAGGCUUUUCGAGAGGGCCGGCAUCCAGAGUACCACGAGACACGUGAAACCUUGUGGGAAGCAGGGUGGACCACCAUCCAAGGCAAAAUACUACUCAAUGACCGAUAGCGCAUAGUACCGUGAGGGAAAGGUGAAAAGUACCCCUGGAGGGGAGUGAAAUAGAACCUGAAACCGUAUGUCUACAAGCAGUCGGAGCACUUUAUAUGUGCGACGGCGUGCCUAUUGAAGAAUGAACCGGCGAGUUAUCCGUUGUGGCGAGGUUAAGCGGGAGACGCGGAGCCGAAGCGAAAGCGAGUCUUAAGAGGGCGAAUAGUCACAGCGGGUAGACCCGAAACCACAGUGAUCUAUGCAUGGCCAGGCUGAAGCUCAGGUAAAAAUGAGUGGAGGGCCGAACCCGUGAGUGUUGAAAAACUUUGGGAUGAGCUGUGC
rnacentral:rRNA from 1 species